rnacentral:misc_RNA from 1 species
GUGUCCGAUGCGGCCCCGUGCC